AGUGAACGCUGGCGGUAGGCCUAACACAUGCAAGUCGAACGGCAGCACAGUAAGAGCUUGCUCUUACGGGUGGCGAGUGGCGGACGGGUGAGGAAUACAUCGGAAUCUACUUUUUCGUGGGGGAUAACGUAGGGAAACUUACGCUAAUACCGCAUACGGCCUACGGGUGAAAGCAGGGGAUCUUCGGACCUUGCGCGAUUGAAUGAGCCGAUGUCGGAUUAGCUAGUUGGCGGGUUAAAGGCCCACCAAGGCGACGAUCCGUAGCUGGUCUGAGAGGAUGAUCAGCCACACUGGAACUGAGACACGGUCCAGACUCCUACGGGAGGCAGCAGUGGGGAAUAUUGGACAAUGGGCGCAAGCCUGAUCCAGCCAUACCGCGUGGGUGAAGAAGGCCUUCGGGUUGUAAAGCCCUUUUGUUGGGAAAGAAAAGCAGCAGGUUAAUACCCCGCUGUUCUGACGGUACCCAAAGAAUAAGCACCGGCUAACUUCGUG
rnacentral:rRNA from 1 species